rnacentral:rRNA from 1 species
CAGUCGAACGAGUUCUCGUUGAUGAUCGGUGCUUGCACCGAGAUUCAACAUAGAACGAGUGGCGGACGGGUGAGUAACACGUGGGUAACCUGCCCUUAAGUGGGGGAUAACAUUUGGAAACAGAUGCUAAUACCGCAUAGAUCCAAGAACCGCAUGGUUCUUGGCUGAAAGAUGGCGUAAGCUAUCGCUUUUGGAUGGACCCGCGGCGUAUUAGCUAGUUGGUGAGGUAAUGGCUCACCAAGGCGAUGAUACGUAGCCGAACUGAGAGGUUGAUCGGCCACAUUGGGACUGAGACACGGCCCAAACUCCUACGGGAGGCAGCAGUAGGGAAUCUUCCACAAUGGACGCAAGUCUGAUGGAGCAACGCCGCGUGAGUGAAGAAGGCUUUCGGGUCGUAAAACUCUGUUGUUGGAGAAGAAUGGUCGGCAGAGUAACUGUUGUCGGCGUGACGGUAUCCAACCAGAAAGCCACGGCUAACUACGUGCCAGCAGCCGCGGUAAUACGUAGGUGGCAAGCGUUAUCCGGAUUUAUUGGGCGUAAAGCGAGCGCAGGCGGUUUUUUAAGUCUGAUGUGAAAGCCCUCGGCUUAACCGAGGAAGCGCAUCGGAAACUGGGAAACUUGAGUGCAGAAGAGGACAGUGGAACUCCAUGUGUAGCGGUGAAAUGCGUAGAUAUAUGGAAGAACACCAGUGGCGAAGGCGGCUGUCUGGUCUGUAACUGACGCUGAGGCUCGAAAGCAUGGGUAGCGAACAGGAUUAGAUACCCUGG